AAAAAUUUAUAAAUAGUCGGACUUCAUUUACGAAGUGCCUUAAAUUUUUGGCGACAAAGCUUCCGGCGAAGAACCUCCCAGGCCACCAUAGACGAAUACCAGCGACGAAGCUGUCACUGAAAAGAGCUUAGGCGACGAUUUCUUAUAAGCUGUCACUGGAAAGAGCUUAGGCGACGAAUUCUUAUCUCCUAUAUCAUUUGCUUUUUGGGGUUUUUUGAUUAGUUGAUUUCAAGAUUUUUCUGCCCCGACCGCUGAACGGAGAAACCAUGGCAUCUCGAACCUUGGCGAUCCAUCUUUUCAGGAAGGUCCGAACCGUCCAAUAUGGGUCGCCCCGCCUCUUGCACCACGGGCCAGACACUGUGGAGGAGCUUCUCGAUAGGCACAUCGUCAAGGAGGAGAGGAGGAGUCUCAACGACGAUGAUAAUGAAAUCCUGACCCGCCAGCGGCUCACCAGCACUCGCCGCGAGGCGCUUAGUCUCUACCGGGACAUCAUCCGGGCUACCCGGUUCUUCAUGUGGCCCGACUCCCGAGGCGUUCUCUGGCGUGAUAUUCUUAGAGAGAACACCCGGAAGGAAUUCGAGGAGGCGCGAUCCGAAAGGGACCCGGAAGUUAUCACGCGUUUGCUCAUUGGGGGUCGCGACGCUCUGCAAUCUGCGCUUGAUAAACUUGUUGAGAGACAGAAGCAAGAGAUCCAGAAGCAACAAGGCAAUUCAAAAUCUUCUCCAAUUUUGUGAUGGGAGGAAAUGCCUGUAGUCAUUUCCAUAUUUUAUCCCCAGAAACAAAAUUGAUUCUUCCUCCCUUCCCUCUCUUUGAAUUACAUCUCCAUUUAUCUUACCAUUCCCAACAAGUUAAAGUAAUUCAAAGAAAAGCAUCAACUUAGAAUUUCCCAUGAGUGGAAUCUCAAAACAAGCAUGCUAUUUUAGGUUAUGACUCUCAUUGGAUUCAGACAGCAGGUAACUCGGGUCAGGGUCAAGUUUAUUGAUCUCCAGAACAGAUUUAUUAAGAGGAUAUGGGGAAUGUGAGGGGAUCAAUGAGAGAGGUUGACCAUUUAUGUCCUCAUUUUGCUUGAGUUUGAGUCAGAGGCCUGGAGAUUGCGGUGAUGCCAAUGGCUUUAUCUCUCGAAGCGCCAUUAGAGGGUUCUUUAGAAAACAAUAUAUUGUCAACACAAAAUCUUCCAUGUAUUGACAUAGAGAUUAAAGGAAAAACAAUUGCUUAAGAAGCACAAGGUAGUCCAAUAGCUAAACUAGCUACUAGAAUGGUAUUCAAAGGGAUCUAUUAAUUGUUUGAGUGUUGAAGUAAGAUAUUGUCCAAUUUUAUAGCUAAACUACUAAAAUGUUUUUCAUGCUUUUA